AUGUCCUCCUCCUCCUCGCUGCCCGCCAAGCCGCCCCCGCCGCCGCGCCCCAAGACGCGGGGCAGCUACAACUGCGGCCGAUGCGGCCAGCCCAAGAAGGGCCACGUCUGCAACCUCCCCUCCCCGGCCGCCGCCGACGGCGGCGCCGCGCCCCCCUCCCCGUCGCCCUCCUCCUCCGGCGGGGACACCCGCCUCCGCCGCGCCCUCUCCUUCGACGAGCCCUCCUCCCCCGAGAAGAAGCCCAGGCCCGACCAUGACGGCCGCACCAUGGAGCUGGGCGGCCGGGCCGUGCCGGUGGACCUCGUCGUCGAGGUGCUGCGCCGGCUCGGCCCCAGGGGCGUCCUCGACGCCGCCGCCGUCAGCCGCGCCUGGCGCGACUGCGCCGACCGGGUCUGGCGCGUCGCCGAGGAGCUCCGCCUCCGCCCGGCCGCCGCCGGCCUCCUCGGCGCGCUGCUCCCCCGCUGCGCCGCGCUCUCGCGCCUCGUCCUCCACAUGGAAAGUGCUGUUGAUGCCACCAUGCUGUCAUGUCUUGCAUUUUCCUGUUCAAGUUUGGAAACUCUGGAGAUCACCAUGGCCGACAAGGCAAUCAACAAUAUGACUGGAGAGGAGCUAAGUCGACUUGUUUCAGAGAAGCAUUCUCUCUCAAUUCUCAAAAUCGGUGGCUGCUCUAAUCUUGGUUUUCUUAAUCUAAGCUCUUCAAGCCUUAAUGUUCUUUGGCUAUCAGAUCUUUGCUCCCUUUCGGAAUCGGUCAUAAGCUGCCCUAAUAUGAGCGAGCUCUCCCUGUGUUUCACACAACAAAGUUCGGAAUGUACUGACCUGGUUAGUUUGAUGGAUGGCCUGGGCCGAUCGUGCCCUAACUUAAGAAAUUUGCACAUAUCAUCAAUUCAACUAUCUAAUGAAGCUGUGUCCGCUCUAGAGGCUGCCAACCUCAGGGGCUUGUGCAUGCUAUCCUUGAUUCUCGGUUCAAAAAUGACAGAUGCAGCUGUUGCAUCUAUCGUCAGAUCUUGUGCAAGCUUGGAAUUGCUUGAUUUAAGUGGAUCUAGCAUCAGUGAUAGUGGUGUUGGUAUGAUCUGCAAGGCGUUCCCUCAUACUUUAUCGAGGCUGCUCCUUGCUCUCUGCCCAAAUAUUACUACAUGUGGGAUCCAGGCUGCAACAGCACAAUUGCCACUUCUUCAGCUCAUGGACUGUGGAAUGAGCUUACGUUCUAACUUGCAGAAUGAAAAACAGGGGGCUUAUUUUGGUGAGAUCAAUGGAAGGAUUAGAUUGUGCCCAAAAUUACCCACCUUAAAAAAGCAACCUAUGCGCCAAAAGCUGAUCAUAAAGCAUGAUAAUUUGAAGAAGCUCAGUCUAUGGGGCUGUUCAGCAAUAGAUGCUUUGUAUGUGAAAUGCCCAGAGUUGAUUGAUCUGAACCUCAACACUUGUACAAAUCUACACCCAGAGCGGCUGCUACUUCAGUGCCCAAAUCUGAAGAAUGUACAUGCAUUUGGAUGCCAAGAUAUGUUGAUUGGUGCAAUAAAAAACCAGAAACUGAUAAACAGAAAGAAUCUAAUGAAGCAAUGUGUAUCAACUGGAGUCUAG
rnacentral:rRNA from 1 species